rnacentral:sRNA from 1 species
UUUGUUCUGCUUUUUUUUCUUUCUUCUACUC